CGCCGCGCGCAUCGGCUCAGC
rnacentral:miRNA from 1 species